rnacentral:rRNA from 1 species
GCCCUUCCUGUUUAACAAAAACAUGUCUUUAUGAUCAUAAUUUAAAGUCUGGCCUGCCCACUGAAUUUUUGAAGGGCCGCAGUAUUUUGACUGUGCAAAGGUAGCAUAAUCAUUUGCCUUCUAAUUAGAGGCUGGAAUGAAUGGCUGGACGAGGUGGGAACUGUCUCAUUUUUAAAAAUUUUAAAAAUUUAACUUUUUAGUCAAAAGGCUUAAAUUUUAUUAAAGGACGAGAAGACCCUAUAGAUUUUUAUAAAUUUAUUUAUAGAGAAAAUUAGUGAUUUAUUAUUUUUUAUAUAAUAUAUUUAUUUUGUUGGGGUGACAUUAAGAUUUAUUUAACUCUUAAAAAUUUUGAGACAUUGAUUUAUGAUUAUUUGAUCCAUUAUUAUUGAUUAUUAGAAUAAGUUACCUUAGGGAUAACAGCGUAAUUUUACUGGAGAGUUCUAAUCGAUAGUGAAGAUUGCGACCUCGAUGUUGAAUUAAAGAUAUUUCUGGGUGUAGAAGUUCAGAGUAAUAGGUCUGUUCGACCUUUAAAUCUUUACAUGAUCUGAGUUCAAACCG